UACAGAGGUCUCAAGCGUUGUUCGGAUUCAUUGGGCGUAAAGGGUGUGUAGGUGGCGCCGUAAGUCGGGUGUGAAAUUUCGGAGCUUAACUCCGAAACUGCAUUCGAUACUGCGGUGCUUGAGGACUGGAGAGGAGACUGGAAUUCAUGGUGUAGCAGUGAAAUGCGUAGAGAUCAUGAGGAAGACCAGUGGCGAAGGCGGGUCUCUGGACAGCUCGUUCGAGACACUGAGACACGAAGGCCAGGGGAGCAAACGGG
rnacentral:rRNA from 1 species